UACGUAGGGGGCAAGCGUUGCUCGGAAUUACUGGGCGUAAAGGGCGCGUAGGCGGACAGUUUAGUCAGAGGUGAAAGCCCAGGGCUCAACCUUGGAAUUGCCUUUGAUACUGGCUGUCUUGAGUUCGGGAGAGGUGAGUGGAAUGCCGAGUGUAGAGGUGAAAUUCGUAGAUAUUCGGCGGAACACCAGUGGCGAAGGCGACUCACUGGCCCGAUACUGACGCUGAGGCGCGAAAGCGUGGGGAGCAAACAGG
rnacentral:rRNA from 1 species